rnacentral:rRNA from 1 species
AUUGAACGCUGGCGGCGGGCCUAACACAUGCAAGUCGAACGAGUGGCGGACGUGUGAAUAAUGUCUGUGAAACUGCCUUAUGGCUGGGGAUAACUACUGGAAACGGUAGCUAAUACCGCUUACCAUCGGCUUUGCCCAGAUGGGAUUAGCUAGUAGGUGGGGUAAAGGCUCACCUAGUAGACGAUCCAUAGCUGGUCUGAGAGGGUGACCAGCCACACUGGAACUGAGACACGGUCCAGACUCCUACGGGAGGCAGCAGUAGGGAAGAUUGCGCAAUGGGCGAAAGCCUGACGGAGCAACGCCGCGUGUAUGAAGAAGGACUUCGGAUUGUAAAGCACUGUCAGCGGGGAAGCGGUACCCAAAGAGGAAGCACCGGCUAACUCCGUGCCAGCAGCCGCGGUAAUUC